UACGAAGGGGGCUAGCGUUGCUCGGAAUCACUGGGCGUAAAGCGCACGUAGGCGGAUUUCUAAGUCAGGGGGUGAAAUCCUGGAGCUCAACUCCAGAACUGCCUUUGAUACUGGGAAUCUCGAGUCCGGGAGAGGUGAGUGGAACUGCGAGUGUAGAGGUGAAAUUCGUAGAUAUUCGCAAGAACACCAGUGGCGAAGGCGGCUCACUGGCCCGGUACUGAC
rnacentral:rRNA from 1 species